rnacentral:rRNA from 1 species
AAAAGAAGAUCAAGAAGAGCUUCAGAAUGAAGCUUUCUUGAUGGAGGGGAGCGGCAGACGGGUGAGUAACGCGUGGGAACGUACCCUUUGCUACGGAAUAGCUCCGGGAAACUGGAAUUAAUACCGUAUGUGCCCUACGGGGGAAAGAUUUAUCGGCAAAGGAUCGGCCCGCGUUGGAUUAGCUAGUUGGUGGGGUAAUGGCCGACCAAGGCGACGAUCAGUAGCUGGUCUGAGAGGAUGGUCAGCCACAUUGGGACUGAGACACGGCCCAAACUCCUACGGGAGGCAGCAGUGGGGAAUCUUGCGCAAUGGGCGAAAGCCUGACGCAGCCAUGCCGCGUGAAUGAUGAAGGUCUUAGGAUUGUAAAAUUCUUUCGCCGGGGACGAUAAUGACGGUACCCGGAGAAGAAGCCCCGGCUAACUUCGUGCCAGCCGCCGCAGUAAUAC